rnacentral:lncRNA from 1 species
CGAAAAUAUUUAAGACCAAUAUUUUCCCCGAAUUACCGACUGUACCUAAAGCAAGUGAUAAAGGGAUUGGUGGUUGAUACCCGAGACCCAAGUUCGAAUCCUAGUUGAUUCAUAUUUCCAUCUAAGUUUAUUUCUAAAUGAAAUAAACGAAACGGGUAGUGUGCUACCUAUCUCUCAAAAAAAAAAAUAUUUUUCCCGAAUUUUCUUCAGAUCUUUCUACAAUUAAACUUGCUCU